UGGGACCUGGGGCCCCUAACCCUGGCCCUGGAGAGAGCCGGAGGGCGGGGUGAGAGUGAGCUUGGCCUGUCCCAGCCCGGCCGCCCUUAGCCUGGGGUUUUCCAAGGCCUUGAAACAUUCAGCAAAUAUUUAUUGAGCUGUGGCUGGGUGCCAAGUCGGGUGGGGACACGGACCCGAGACAUAGCACUUCCCGAGGGGCUGAGUCCUAGGGGCAGAGGGGCACCGAUAAACAGGUGAGGUCAGGGAGCAAGAAGUGCCUCAGGAAAACAAACGCAGGGGCACAGAACAGGGAGGACAGGCUGCUCCUUCAGCCAGGGAGGCUGGGGCUGAGCCCGAGGGAGGUGGCAGGGAGCCUCUGGAUGGCUUGGGAGAAGACAGCACCGCAAGUGCCAAGGCCCUGAGGUAGGAGGGAGGAGGGAGGCAGAUGCUGCAUGGAGAGGCAGGAGGAAGGGCAGGAGGCAAAAUCACCCUGUGACAGUCUCACCAUGUAGCCCAGGCUGGCCUUGAACUCACAGAGAUCCUCCUGCCUCAGCCUCCUGAGAGCUGGGAUGAUAGGUGUGCGUCACCACACCUGGCUGCUGACAGGCCCUGGACCUUGGCCUCUGUUCAGUGAUGGGCAGGCCCAGCGUGAGGGCGCAGGGGAUUGGUUGAGUGGUGGGAUUCUUCAGCUCCACGUGAUCUCGCGAGAGGAGAGGAGCGUCCUGCCGCGCAGCACCCCCCCCCCCCCCAGUAGCUCGUUCUGGGCAUGCGUGGUGCACGUAGGCUGCCUGAGUCUGAGAAGGUGGUGUCUCCAAGCUGGAAGGCGCAGCGACCAGAUUUUCCCUUAUGGGUGUAAGCAGGUGCUGCUGACAGCCGACUGUAACCUGCUGAACUCACUUCGGACGUCUGAGCUCCAGGACCCGGACAGAAAUGAUGUUGUUUUGGGGCUGGGAUGGAGCCCCACACAUCUAAGCCAGUGCUGCACCCCUGAGCUGCGCUCGCAGUGCUGAUUCUGUGCUUUCCAAGUUACUAAGCUUCUGCUAAUAAGAUUGAUUCACUGGUUUCUUUCUUGCUUGCUUACUUUCUACUGGAGACUACAGCCCAGGGUUCACUGAGCUACAUACCCAGCUCAUUUAUUUAUUUAGUUUUAUUUUAAGACUGUGGCCUGCUAGGCUCAAACUUGUG
rnacentral:lncRNA from 1 species